UGGGCGUUAUGAGCCUCCGCGCCGCUAGUUGGCGUAGCGAACAACAGUCUACCCCGUCAGCGACCAAAACAGUAAGCCAUCUGUCAAACUAAUUGCUGUUAAAAUUUAUCUCAUUUGUUUAUUCUUUUUGCCUUGACUGGCGCUAGUUAGCUGGACUUAUCUGCCAACCCUCUGGGAAUUGGACCCCAAAUUUUACUUCUUUUUUUUUUUUUUAAACCACAUUUGGUUUGUAAAAAGCAAAGAAAGAAGUUCGGAAAUAUUUUUGUCUACCUGAGAAGUUACAUGUGGGUAUCACGUCUGAUGAGGAUCAACAGCCCCUCUGUCAUCAUGGCUUCUAAGCCCCCACUGCGCCUGGGCCUUAUAUAUCCUGCAGAGACUGGGUUGGGUGAAAUUGACACACACUUGCAGCUCAGCCUUGACGCUGUACACAUCCAGACGAUUCCUCUCGUUUCUCCAUGCAGUUGUCAUCAUUAAAAAGACACGUUCAUGGAAUGCCAUGGAAUGAGUCUCGACUGCUUUUCGUUAUAAAUCCGUGCUCUUUUAUCCAUUCAGAAUUAAACGAGGUCUUGCGUUUUGACAUGAUGCUAACUUUCUGUCAAUGUCAUGCCGC